UGACCCCCUGGGGAGUCCUCUUGUUGCAACCC
rnacentral:rRNA from 1 species